rfam:Triticum aestivum genome assembly, contig: Triticum_aestivum_CS42_TGACv1_scaffold_376717_5AL
UGUGUACUCCCUCCAUCCGGAAAAGCUUGUCCCAAGCUUGUCCAUCAAAUAGAUGUAUUUAGCAUUAACUUAAUGUUAGUAUAUCCAUUUGAGGGACAGGUUUUUCUGGACGGAGGGAGUAUCAG